CGGACUAUAAAUAUCUCCCGUUGCUAAGGAAGGCAAUUUCGUACCUAAGGUCCUUCCUAUUUCCUGGAGGAGUGAACAAUGUUUGCAUUGCAUAAGAACCUUAUAGGAUGGGAAUGACUGUUCCAGGUAUUAGUCAAACCGUCAUGCGUAACCAGGGAAACA